UUCAUUUUCAUAGAAAAUUACUGCUGCAACACCUUACCACAGAAAUUAUGCAAAUUUAUUAUCUUACAGUUCUGGAGGCCAGAAUGUCUGCAAAAGUCUCCCUGAGCUGGAGUCUAGAUGUUAGUGAGUUGUGCCCCUUUCUGGAGGCUCCAGGGAAGAAGGUUUCCCUGUCUUCUCCAGCUUCCGGAGGCCAUUGCAUUCAUGGCUACAGCCCCUUCGUCCACCUCCAGGACCAGCCAGGCCUCUGUUGCUGCCUGUUCUCCCAUAGUCCCACCUCCCUGACCACAGCCAGGAGACAGUCUCUGUUUUUAAGGCACUUGUGGUUAGAUUGAGACUCCCGCAGAUAAGCCAGGAAAACCUUCCCACCACAAAGUCCUUAAUUUAAUCCCAUCUGCCAAGUCCCCCUGCCAUGGAAGAUGAUAUAAUUGAAGGUUUCAGGGUUUAGGAUGUGGACAUCUUUGGGGUCUAUUAUUCUGCCUAACACAAUAUGUGAGAGACUGAAUAGUGUACUGUUACUGUUUCAGUGUUUGACCUCAGUUAUACGUUUAAAGUGAAUAAAAAUUAAAACGUGUUUUAGAUUUACCUGUAUUUUACCAUUUCCAGAGCUUCAUUUCUUUGUGUAAUCCAAAUGACCGUUUGGCAUCACACUCCUGCCUGAAGAAUUUUAGCAUUUCAUGUACAGCAGAACUGCUGGUGCUGUGCUCUGCCUCGCCGGGAGCCCCACACAGGGAGGUGGAGUCCUGUGGGCGCUGCUUGCAGAGUGGAUCCUCAUUUCGUGGCUGGAACGUUUUGCGCAUUGUCCCUGUGUUUUGUAACUCUCCAGUGUCUUCAAGCAGUUAUCUUUAAAAUGUAUUUUUCCAGAGUUUUUCAUUGCUAUGAGCAAGUGCGUAAUUCUAUAGGAGCAAUGCUAGCAAUAGAGGGCACUAGAAGAAAAACUUGUUUUUGAUUUUGUCUCCAGAAGUCUCUGAAAAUUCCUUAGGACAUCCUUACAUUUAAGAUAUUUUGAAAUGUUAUUCUCUAUCAAGCUAAAAAAUGAACCAC
rnacentral:lncRNA from 1 species